UUUGUUUUGGUGCUCUCGAGGAAUAGAAAAGCUUGCAAUAAUAAUAUGCAACAUUACGAUCAAUUUUAAGAGAAUUUUUCUUAAGAGUUACAAGAACUAAAUUCCCAAGUUAAUUGUUUUCCUCACCAAAACUUCACCAUCUCUAUUUCAUGCUCCUUAAACUUGUACCCUAAUAUCUUGUUAAACUUAAUCUUGUAUGAAUAAGGAACAAACAUAUCAAGUUCGUUCUUCUAAUGAAGCUCCUAGUAAGAUUUGUGAAAGAAAUUGGAGCCAUUCAGUUGUAGUAAUAAUUUUAAUUUUAUCCAUAUAGUUAGUUAUUUAUCAUAAUGAAAACCAUCCAUGAAAAACACAUCUUAAAUAAAAUUAAUGGAAAAGGAUU
rnacentral:lncRNA from 1 species